CGCCCACUCACCGCACGGCUCCCAGCUGAACCACGCCGGCCACGUGCAGCACCACCCGGCCGAUCUCACCUCCAGGAUCGGUAACCAGAGCUUGCGUGAGAAGCGCUCGUCGGCGGCGCAGCACCACUGGGGCAUGCGUCAGGCCAUGAGCCACACCUACAUCAACUACUACGCCGGCUCCGACUGUCACCUGGACCGGCUCAAGGAGUCGCCCGGCGGGCACGCGUCGCCGCACGGCGCGCGCAAGCCCUCCCGCCAGCAGUACUACCCCGCCGACACGCCGCUACCGCCGCCGACGGCCGCCGGCGAGCCGCCGCC